rnacentral:rRNA from 1 species
AACGAACGCUGGCGGCAGGCUUAACACAUGCAAGUCGAACGCCCCGCAAGGGGAGUGGCAGACGGGUGAGUAACGCGUGGGAACAUACCCUUUCCUGCGGAAUAGCUCUGGGAAACUGGAAUUAAUACCGCAUACGCCCUACGGGGGAAAGAUUUAUCGGGGAAGGAUUGGCCCGCGUUGGAUUAGCUAGUUGGUGGGGUAGAGGCCUACCAAGGCGACGAUCCAUAGCUGGUCUGAGAGGAUGAUCAGCCACAUUGGGACUGAGACACGGCCCAAACUCCUACGGGAGGCAGCAGUGGGGAAUAUUGGACAAUGGGCGCAAGCCUGAUCCAGCCAUGCCGCGUGAGUGAUGAAGGCCUUAGGGUUGUAAAGCUCUUUCACCGAUGAAGAUAAUGACGGUAGCCGGAGAAGAAGCCCCGGCUAACUUCGUGCCAGCCGCCGCGGUAAGAC